UGGCAAGUGCAUUAUAAAAGUCACGGCCGAGGAAACUGAAGCCAACACUAAUACCAGUGGUUCCUAAAGUAAGGGCAAAAACCGCAGCUAACUGCAAUCUCGCCUGAACUUUAUCAUCAGAGGACCAAUACGGUACAGCAACCUUCCAGAACCUUCUCAUAAGUGAUUGAAGAUCCGGCGGCUUUCUUUGCUCAUCCUGAAUGGGU
rnacentral:misc_RNA from 1 species